rnacentral:rRNA from 1 species
UACAGAGGUCUCAAGCGUUGUUCGGAUUCAUUGGGCGUAAAGGGCGCGUAGGCUGCGGGGCAAGUCGGGUGUGAAAUCUCAGAGCUCAACUCUGAAACUGCACUCGAUACUGCUUUGCUUGAGGACUGGAGAGGAGAUUGGAAUUCACGGUGUAGCAGUGAAAUGCGUAGAUAACGUGAGGAAGACCAGUGGCGAAGGCGGAUCUCUGGACAGUUCCUGACGCUGAGGCGCGAAGGCCAGGGGAGCAAACGGG